UCCAGUUGUCUGUUUAUACCAUCGAGCAGCACUAUCAGUAACAGUGUCCAGAUUACAGUCCAGUGUUGCCGUCUGUCCUUUAUUUACUGUAAGAACUGCAGGAUUCUGGGUCACUACAAUGACACCACCGACACCUGAAAACACAAACACAGUUAAAGACUUAUAGUUACAAUGACCUGAAACACAUGCAAAAAUCUCAACAACAGGAGGUUCAUACAAAUCCAAGCAGUGAAGAGAAGGAAGAGUUUGAUGAGCAUGUUUGUAGAUGCAGACCGGUUUGUUCUCAUGAUGAGAGAUCAGUGAGAGAUUAUACACUAGAUUGAGUUUGUGGGAGGAGCAUUUGAUAUUUUACAUCACAUUUAUUUGAAGAUUGAUGUUUGCAGACAGACUGAUGAAACUCUUUUGCUCUCUAGCAGGAAGUGAAGCUGAUUGGCUGAAUUUUAAUGAACUUCCUUCUUUCAGAGUUUCUCUUCCUCAAAAUCUCUAUAUGAGAAUGAAAUUGUCUUCAUGUCUUCACUAAACUCACAGCUUCACAAACACAGACAAGAUGCUGAUAAUAUUCAUCAAUCUCUUCACUCUUCUCUCAUGUGUCAGUUCAGCUAAAGUUGUCACACAAAAACCCUCAGUACUGACAGAAGAAAAAGGAAAAUCUGUGACUAUGGACUGUAAUAUAGGAACAUAUCAGGGCCAUUAUGUUUAUUGGUAUAAACAGCUUCCAAAUGCAGCUCCUCAGUAUGUGUUGCGUUCCUCUCCAAGUACUGGCUCUGCUAAUGAGUAUGGUGCCAGUUUUUCAUCCAGCCGUUUCACAUCUAAAGCUCAGUCAGAUCUUGAGUAUCAGCUGAUCAUCAAUAAUGUAGAUGUGAGAGAUUCAGCUGUGUAUUAUUGUCAGACAUGGGAUGACUCUGCUAAGACUGAGGAGGUUUUUGUACGACUGAAGAUCUGAAAUCUAUCACUGUGGUAUUCGGGCAAGGAACAAAACUCAUUGUGACCGAUUCAGGUGUUUCUGCUCCUGUUGUGAAGAUUUUGCCUCCAUCCAGUGAAGAUGUGAGCUCCAGUAAAGUGACUCUGGUGUGUUUGAUCAAUGACAUGUCUGUGGGAUUUGCUGAUGUGAGUUGGUUUGUGAAUGGAAA